rnacentral:rRNA from 1 species
AGGGUUCGAUUCCGGAGAAGGAGCUUGAGAAUUGGCUACUACAUCUAAGGAAGGCAGCAGGCGCGCAAAUUACCCAAUCCCGAUUCGGGGAGGUAGUGACAAAAAAUAACAAUACCGGGCCUUUUUGGGCUUGGUAAUUGGAAUGAGGGAGAGUUAAACGGACCAUCGAGUAUCCAUUGGAGGGCAAGUCUGGUGCCUGCAGCUGCGGUAAUACAAGCUCCAAUAGCGUAUAUUAAAGUUGUUGCAGUUAAAAAGCUCGUAGUUGGACUUGUGUGCGCUGUCCGCGGGUGGCCUGCGCCCAAAAGGGCGUUUCGGUUCGGCCCCGGUGGCGCCUUGAAAUCUGCAGCUGGGGGGACGUUGGCCUUAACUGGUCGGCGACCGCACGCCGGCUGCUCGGUUACUGUGAGAAAAUUAGAGUGUUCAAGGCAGGCAUUGGGUGCAAUUGAAUACAUUAGCAUGGAAUAAUAAAAUAUGGCUCCUGCCGUAUUUUGUUGGUUUUGACUGGUGGGAGUAAUGAUUGAUAGGGACGGUUGGGGGUGCUAGUAUUGAGCGGCCAGAGGUGAAAUUCAUGGAUUCGCUCAAGACUAACUUAUGCGAAAGCAUUCACCAAGGACGUCCUCUUUAAUCAAGAACGAAAGUUGGGGGAUCGAAGACGAUCAGAUACCGUCGUAGUCUCAACCAUAAACUAUGUCGACUUGGGAUCGGCGGUAGUUUUUUCAUUAAGACACUGUCGGGACCACGGGAGAAAUCAAAGUGUCUGGACUCCGGGGGAAGUAUGGUCGCAAGGCUGAAACUUGAAGGAAUUGACGGAAGGGCACCACCAGGAGUGGAGCCUGCGGCUUAAUUUGACGCAACACGGGGAAACUUACCAGGUCCAGAGAUGUAGAGGAUUGACAGAUUGAAGCUCUUUCUUGAUCACUUCGGUGGUGGUGCAUGGCCGUUCUUAGUUGGUGGAGUGAUUUGUCUGGUUAAUUCCGUUGACGAACGAGACCUCAGCCUGCUAGUGUAGUCGGCUGGAUUGCCUUUGGCGAUCCGUGAUUUCGACUUCUUAGAGGGACAAUCGACGCGCAGUCGAUGGAAGUUUGAGGCAAUAACAGGUCUGUGAUGCCCUUAGAUGUUGGGCCGCACGCGCGCUACACUGCUGGGCUCAGCGAGUUUUACUUGGCCGAGAGGCCCGGUUAAUCUUGUGAAAUCCCAGCGUGCUUGGGCUCGCCUCCUGCAACUGGAGGCGCCAACGAGGAAUUCCUAGUAGACGCAGGUCAUCAACCUGCAUCGAUUACGUCCCUGCCCUUUGUACACACCGCCCGUCGUUCCAUAAGAGUGAGGCAUCCGGUGAAUUCUCGGGAGAGCCUGGGCGUGGCCAGCAAUGGUCUGCUCGGGUUUGAACUUGCAUAAACUUGGUGCCUAUGAUUAGGGAAAAGUCGUAACAAGAUU